GUGGGGAAUAUUGCACAAUGGGGGAAACCCUGAUGCAGCGACGCCGCGUGAGUGAAGAAGUAUUUCGGUAUGUAAAGCUCUAUCAGCAGGGAAGAAAAUGACGGUACCUGACUAAGAAGCCCCGGCUAACUACGUGCCAGCAGCCGCGGUAAUACGUAGGGGGCAAGCGUUAUCCGGAUUUACUGGGUGUAAAGGGAGCGUAGGUGGUUCGUUAAGUCAGGUGUGAAAGCCCGGGGCUCAACCCCGGGAUUGCACUUGAAACUAUCGAACUAGAGUGUAGGAGAGGUAAGUGGAAUUCCUAGUGUAGCGGUGAAAUGCGUAGAUAUUAGGAGGAACACCAGUGGCGAAGGCGACUUACUGGACUAUAACUGACACUGAGGCUCGAAAGCGUGGGGAGCAAACAGGAUUAGAAACCCUGGUAGUCC
rnacentral:rRNA from 1 species